rnacentral:rRNA from 1 species
AGACGUGUGCUCUUCCGAUCUGGUGAAUGCCUUGGCGCUGAGAGGCGAUGAAAGACGCGGUAAGCUGCGAUAAGCAUCGGGGAGGAGCUAAACAUCCUACGAUCCGAUGAUUUCUGAAUGGGGAAACCCGAUGGGAGUCAUGUCCCAUCAUCCUGAGCUGAAUAUAUAGGCCCAGAGAAGCCAACCCGGGGAAGUGAAACAUCUCAGUACCCGGAGGAAGAGAAAUCAAACGAGACUCCCAAAGUAGCGGCGAGCGAAAUGGGAAGAGCCCAAACCGAGUGGUUUCGACCAUUCGGGGUUGUAGGGCCGGCAUACGCGAUUCUGGAGUAGGCAGAGGAAGUGAGCUGGAAAGCUCCGCCACAGCGGGUGAUAGCCCCGUACUCGAAACCGAAAAGGACGCAGCCGGUACCUGAGUACUGCGAGGCACGUGGAACCUCGUGGGAAUCUAGGGGGACCAUCCUCUAAGGCUAAGUACUCCUCAGCGACCGAUAGUGAACUAGUACCGUGAGGGAAAGGUGAAAAGAACCCCUGUUAGGGGAGUGAAAUAGAAUCUGAAACCUGUUGCCUACAAGCUGCGAGAGCUACUUCGGUAGUGAUCGCGUGCCUUUUGUAUUAUGAGUCAGCGAGUUACUCUACCGUGCGAGGUUAAGCGAAAGCGUAGCCGUAGUGAAAGCGAGGCUUAAUAGGCCGACUAGUACGUUGGAGUAGACCCGAAACCGGGUGAUCUAUCCAUGAGCAGGUUGAAGCAAGGGUAAAGCCUUGUGGAGGACCGAACCGUCAACGGCUGAAAACGUUCCGGAUGACUUGUGGAUAGGGGUGAAAGGUCAAUCAAACCCGGUGAUAGCUGGUUCUCCCCGAAAUAUAUUGAGGUAUAGCCUCGGGAAUUGAUUAGCGGAGGUAAAGCACUGACAGAGCUAGGGGUCCUACCAGAUUACCAAACUCUAUCAAACUCAGAAUGCCGCUUAAUUGUAUCCCGGGAGUCAGACGGCGGGUGCGAAGGUUCGUCGUCAAAAGGGAAACAGCCCAGACCAACAGCUAAGGUCUCCAAAUCCAUGCUCAGUGGUGAAGGUAGUGGAACCGUUUAGACAGCCAGGACGUUGGCUUAGAAGCAGCCAUCGUUUAAAGAAAGCGUAAUAGCUCACUGGUCUAAUGGCUCUGCGCCGAAAAUGUAACGGGGCUAAGCAUGGUACCGAAGCUUUGGCAAUCUCCUUUGGAGAUUGGGUAGGGGAGCGUUCGCUGCGGGCUGAAGGUGUGCCGGAAGGCAUGCUGGACUGCAGUGAAGUGAUUAUGCUGACAUGAGUAACGAUAAAAUAUGUGAAAAACAUAUUCGCCGAAAACCCGAGGUUUCCUGGGUAAAGGUAAUCUUCCCAGGGUUAGUCGGAUCCUAAGGUGAGGGUGAAAGCCGUAACCGAUGGAAAACAGGUUAAUAUUCCUGUACUUGUUGUGUAGCGCGAUGGAGGGACGCAGGAAGAUAGGCGGGCCGGGUGUUGGAUAUCCCGGUGCAAGCGUGUAGGAAUAUCCGGUAGGCAAAUCCGCCGGACGAAUCUGAGACGCGAGUCCGUGGGCGCAAGCCCUGAAGCCGUUGAGUCUAUGCUGCCUAGAAAAGCUCCUAAGUUUAUCCACAGCAAUCCGUACCGCAAACCAACUCAGGUGGGUGGGAUGAACAAUCCAAGGCGCUCGAGAGAACUCUGGCCAAGGAACUCGGCAAAAUAACCCCGUAACUUCGGAAGAAGGGGUGCUCUCUAGGGUGACAUGUUUAACAUAUGAAGCCCCGGGGAGCCGCAGUGAAUUGGUGGUGGCGACUGUUUACUAAAAACAUAGGUCUGUGCGAAGUCCUAAAGACGACGUAUACGGACUGACGCCUGCCCGGUGCUGGAAGGUUAAAAGGAGGGGUCAGCGCAAGCAAAGCUCCGAAUUGAAGCCCCAGUAAACGGCGGCCGUAACAAUAACGGUCCUAAGGUAGCGAAAUUCCUUGUCGGGUAAGUUCCGACCUGCACGAA